rnacentral:rRNA from 1 species
ACGAACGCUGGCGGCGUGCUUAACACCUGCAAGUCGAACGGAAAGGCCCUGCUUUUGUGGGGUGCUCGAGUGGCGAACGGGUGAGUAACACGUGAGUAACCUGCCCUUGACUUUGGGAUAACUUCAGGAAACUGGGGCUAAUACCGGAUAGGAGCUCCUGCUGCAUGGUGGGGGUUGGAAAGUUUCGGCGGUUGGGGAUGGACUCGCGGCUUAUCAGCUUGUUGGUGGGGUAGUGGCUUACCAAGGCUUUGACGGGUAGCCGGCCUGAGAGGGUGACCGGCCACAUUGGGACUGAGAUACGGCCCAGACUCCUACGGGAGGCAGCAGUGGAGAAUAUUGCACAAUGGGCGGAAGCCUGAUGCAGCAACGCCGCGUGCGGGAUGACGGCCUUCGGGUUGUAAACCGCUUUCGCCUGUGACGAAGCGUGAGUGACGGUAAUGGGUAAAGAAGCACCGGCUAACUACGUG